UACGAAGGGGGCUAGCGUUGCUCGGAAUCACUGGGCGUAAAGGGUGCGUAGGUGGCGAGGUAAGUCGGAUGUGAAAGCUCGGAGCUCAACUCCGAAAUGGCAUUGGAAACUACCUUGCUCGAGGGUUGGAGGGGGACUGGAAUUCGUCGGUGUAGCAGUGAAAUGCGCAGAUAAUCAGGAGGAACACCGAUGGCGAAGGCAGCUCGCUGGGACGGUACUGACGCUGAGGCGCGGAA
rnacentral:rRNA from 1 species